GUCGAACGGCAGCACGGAGCUUGCUCUGGUGGCGAGUGGCGAACGGGUGAGUAAUAUAUCGGAACGUACCCUAGAGUGGGGGAUAACGUAGCGAAAGUUACGCUAAUACCGCAUACGAUCUAAGGAUGAAAGUGGGGGAUCGCAAGACCUCAUGCUCGUGGAGCGGCCGAUAUCUGGUUAGCUAGUUGGUAGGGUAAAAGCCUACCAAGGCAUCGAUCAGUAGCUGGUCUGAGAGGACGACCAGCCACACUGGAACUGAGACACGGUCCAGACUCCUACGGGAGGCAGCAGUGGGGAAUUUUGGACAAUGGGCGAAAGCCUGAUCCAGCAAUGCCGCGUGAGUGAAGAAGGCCUUCGGGUUGUAAAGCUCUUUUGUCAGGGAAGAAACGGUGAAAGCUAAUAUCUUUUGCUAAUGACGGUACCUGAAGAAUAAGCACCGGCUAACUACGUGCCAGCAGCCGCGGUAAUACGUAGGGUGCAAGCGUUAAUCGGAAUUACUGGGCGUAAAGCGUGCGCAGGCGGUUUUGUAAGUCUGAUGUGAAAUCCCCGGGCUCAACCUGGGAAUUGCAUUGGAGACUGCAAGGCUAGAAUCUGGCAGAGGGGGGUAGAAUUCCACGUGUAGCAGUGAAAUGCGUAGAUAUGUGGAGGAACACCGAUGGCGAAGGCAGCCCCCUGGGUCAAGAUUGACGCUCAUGCACGAAAGCGUGGGGAGCAAACAGG
rnacentral:rRNA from 1 species